rnacentral:rRNA from 1 species
UACGGGGGGGCAAGCGUUGUUCGGAAUUCCUGGGCGUAAAGGGCUCGUAGGCGGCCAACUAAGUCGGAUGUGAAAUCCCCAAGCUUAACUUGGGAACUGCAUCCGAUACUGGAUGGCUUGAAUCCGGGAGAGGGAUGCAGAAUUCCAGGUGUAGCGGUGAAAUGCGUAGAUAUCUGGAGGAAUACCGGUGGCGAAGGCGGCAUCCUGGACCGGCAUUGACGCUGAGGAGCGAAAGCUAGGGGAGCAAACGGG